rnacentral:misc_RNA from 1 species
AACCUCAAUCCCCCAGGGUUCUGCUCUGUGGAAGAUUGGACUUGGGCGUCUGCCGGCUUUGGCCGGCUCGCCUUAAAUGUGUUAGUGGGAUCAGCAGCCCCGAUCGGCGUAAUAAGUUUCGCUGAAGAGGGAGGCCCGAGCCCGCUCAUAACCAUCUCCUUACGGAGAACACUCUUAUG